CGCGGUAAUUCCAGCUCCAAUANCGUAUAUUAAAGUUGUUGCAGUUAAAAAGCUCGUAGUUGAAUUUCGGGGUCAGUAGGUCGGUCGUGCCACUGGUAUGAACUGGUUUUACUGAUUCCUCCCUCUUGAAGAACUGUAAUGCCAUUAAUUUGGUGUUGCAGGGAAUCAGGACUGUUACUUUGAAAAAAUUAGAGUGUUUAAAGCAGGCUUUAGCUUGAAUACAUUAGCAUGGAAUAAUGAAAUAGGACGUUUGAUCCUAUUUUGUUGGUUUCUAGGAUUGACGUAAUGAUUAAUAGGGAUAGUUGGGGGCAUUAGUAUUCAAUUGUCAGAGGUGAAAUUCUUGGAUUUAUUGAAGACUAACUACUGCGAAAGCAUUUGCCAAGGAUGUUUUCAUUAAUCAAGAACGAAAGUUAGGGGAUCGAAGACGAUCAGAUACCGUCGUAGUCUUAACCAUAAACUAUGCCGACUAGGGAUCGGAUGAUGUUAAUUUUUUAAUG
rnacentral:rRNA from 1 species